GAUGAACGCUGGCGGUAUGCCUUACACAUGCAAGUCGAACGGAAAUUAGCUUCGGUUAAUUUUAGUGGCGGACGGGUGAGUAACACGUGAGAAUUUGCCUUUAGGAGGGGGAUAACUAGUGGAAACACUAGCUAAAACCCCAUAUGCCCACGGGUGAAACAGAGGAAUAAGGUUAAACCAUAAAUCCUCUGACUGAAGAGGAGCUCGCUGCUGAUUAGCGAGUUGGUAGGGUAAUGGCCUACCAAGGCGACGAUCAGUAGCUGGUCUGAGAGGACGAUCAGCCACACUGGAACUGAGACACGGUCCAGACUCCUACGGGAGGCAGCAGUGAGGAAUUUUCUGCAAUGGGCGAAAGCCUGACAGAGCAGUACCGCGUGAGGGAAGAAGGCUUACUGAGUUGUAAACCUCGGUGCCUUAAGGAAGAAGAUCUGACGGUACUUAAGGUGGAAAGCAUCGGCUAACCCCGUGCCAGCCGCCGCCGUAACAC
rnacentral:rRNA from 1 species